GUGUGCAUGUCCUUUUCUGUGUGUCACCGCUUCUCAUGUGCGGAUUCCUAUAAGCACCUCUGAUAUCGAGACUCGUAUGUCUCAUUGCCACAAAAAUCUUCACGAUGCUGGUUAUAAUAACAUCUAAAUCCCUCACUGUCCCUCGCCCCUAGCAACUACUGAUUUGCCUGACAAAACGUAUUUUUAAGGGUGUCGUAUAAAAGGAAUCAUGCCGUAUGCUAUGAACUGGAUUAUAUCACAGAAUCCAUAUGUUAGAACCCUAAUCCUCUUAUUUGACUGCAUUUGAAACUAAAGACUUUAUGUAGUAAUUAAAGUUAAAUGAUGAGACGUAAGAAAGGUCCCAACCCUGUCUCCCACCCCGACUCAUCCCAUGGGGAAGCAAAGUAAGAAGGUAGCUAGCUGCCUGCAAGCCAGGAAGGGUCCUAGCUGGAAAUUACCUCUGCGGAACCUUGACUUGGGACUUACAGCUUCCAGAACUGUAAGGAGACAAAUGUUUGUUAUUAAAGCUCCUCAGUGCACGGCCUCAUUUGUGGCUUUCUUAAUAUGCAAAUGCACUGUCCUUGACCUCUGGAGAAUGGCUCCCCACCGCCACCACACUCAGCCUAAGGUUCAUGAAAUCCAUUCAAACUGUGUAGGGUAUGUUAAUAAUUUAGUCCUUCUUGUUGCUUGCAAGUCCUCCAACUGACUUCUUCAAAAGCUUCAGUUUAGUCUUGGUGUUCUGGAGAUGGAUAUGGAGUGUCUAAGAAGUCUCUUUUCCUUUAAAAAUUCUUCUGGAGAUUUUUUUUCUGCUUCCUGAAUUCAAGAACUCAUGUGAUUCACUGCCGGGAGAUGGCUCAGUGGACACGGGGCUUGAUAUGCAAGGACAAGGAGCAUAAGGACCUGGAUGUGUACCCUUGGCGUCCUCUGGAAACUCAGCUUGGUGGAUUAACAGUCAUCUUGGAGACGUAUUCCUGGGCACAUCUGUGAGACUGACUCCAGAGAGGACUAACUACGGAGGGAAGAUCACCCAGAAUGUGGGCAAGCAGCUCCUGCAGGUUGGCAUCUUAGGCUGGGAAAAGGACAAAGCCAACAGAGCAUCGUCAUUCACCUGUCUCUGUGUCCUGACUGCACAAGCCUCCCUGGCUAUGCUCUAACAUGCUACCUCAAGCAGGCAGCUGAAAAGGAGACCCAAAACACAGGAGAUCAUACAACCUGGAGCACACAAAAGCUAGGCAGGCCAGCGCAGCCCAUAAUGAUUAAGACCUGGCAUCUUUCUUGAGACUGCAGAUCUUCCUUGGUCAACACCAACCCAAGCUAACCAUGCUCCCACUUUCGCAUUCCCAGUACUGGGAUUCCAGGGGUGUGACAUUGUUCACCUUGCUUUGUCGUCACUGCUUCCUACCGACCAUCUAAGACGCUCUGCCCGUACUUCUUUUUACCUCUUUAUCGGAACCAGUUGGGAAGGGAGAAAAUGGGGGCUUGCUUCAGUGUGAACAACACUGGAGAUUCAUACAUCCUUUCUGCUUUAAUUUCGCUGGUCAGAGAACGGAGUCACGGGACUACAUCUAUCUGACAAAGACACUUGGAAAGAAUCAUAUUCAUUUGGGGGAAAUGAAGGGCCUAUCCUGGACCAGCUUGUUCUGAUUUCCCAGGGACUUCUUGUCUUUGACACUGGAAGUCCUGCACCUUGGGAAUUCUCUAGGUCCAAAGUGAACAAAGAGAGUUGCCCCCAUGAACUUGUAAGUUUGAAAGAAAAAGGAAAGAGAUGGGGUCUGAAUCAGUAUUCUUUUGCUGUGAAGAGACACCCUGGCCCCGGCAACCCACAAAAGAAAGCAUUUAUUCGGGGCUUCCUUACAGCUUCAGAAUUUUGUCCAUUGUCAUCAUGUCAGGAGAACACACAGCACACAGCCAGACUUUGUGCUGGAGGAGCAGCUGAGAGUUUUACGUCUGGAUUUACAGGUAGCAGGAAGAGAGUGACACUGGGCCUGGCCAAGCCCACCCUCAGUGACACACUUCCUCCAACUAGGCCACACCUCCUAAUCCUUUCAAAUAGUGCCACUUCCUGGUGACUGAGCAUUGGAACUGUUGGGCUUGUAGAGGUCAUUCUUAUCAAGCCACCAAGAUGGCUAGUGUUGUGCCUACCUCCUCCUCUCUGCCCAGGACGCCCUGUGCAGCUGCUGUUUUUGCUGCUCUUCCUCACAGUAACCACCCUUGAAAGGGAGGACUUGAGCAGCGAGUGUUGGAGAGCCCACCUCACCCUUCUUACCCGGAGACACCAUAUCUAUUACU